AAUGGGCGGAAGCCUGAACCAGCUAUCCCGCGUGCAGGAUGAAUGCCCUACGGGUUGUAAACUGCUUUAGACUGGGAAGAAACCCCUCAAUGAGUUGGGGGCUGACGGUACCAGUAGAAUAAGCACCGGCUAACUCCGUGCCAGCAGCCGCGGUAAUACGGAGGGUGCAAGCGUUAUCCGGAAUCACUGGGUUUAAAGGGUGCGUAGGCGGCUUGGUAAGUCAGAGGUGAAAGCCCGCAGCUCAACUGCGGAACUGCCUUUGAUACUGCUGAGCUUGAAAGAGGACGAGGUUGGCGGAAUGUGGCAUGUAGCGGUGAAAUGCAUAGAUAUGCCAUAGAACACCGAUUGCGAAGGCAGCUGACUAGACCUACUUUGACGCUGAGGCACGAAAGCGUGGGGAGCGAA
rnacentral:rRNA from 1 species